rnacentral:rRNA from 1 species
GAUGAACGCUGGCGGCGUGCCUAAUACAUGCAAGUCGAGCGAAUGGAUUAAGAGCUUGCUCUUAUGAAGUUAGCGGCGGACGGGUGAGUAACACGCGGGUAACCUGCCCAUAAGACUGGGAUAACUCCGGGAAACCGGGGCUAAUACCGGAUAACAUAUUGAGCAGCAGGGUUCGAAAUUGAAAGGCGGCUUCGGCUGUUACUUAUGGAUGGAUCCGCGUCGCAUUAGCUAGUUGGUGAGGUGACGGCUCACCAAGGCAACGGUGCGUAGCCGACCUGAGAGGGUGAUCGGCCACACGGGGACUGAGACACGGCCCAGACUCCUACGGGAGGCAGCAGUAGGGAAUCUUCCGCAAUGGACGAAAGUCUGACGGAGCAACGCCGCGUGAGUGAUGAAGGCUUUCGGGUCGUAAAACUCUGUUGUUAGGGAAGAACAAGUGCUAGUUGAAUAAGCUGGCACCUUGACGGUACCUAACCAGAAAGCCACGGCUAACUACGUGCCAGCCGCCGCCGUAA